rnacentral:tRNA from 1 species
GGGAACGUAGCUCAGUUGGUAGAGCACCGCCUUUGCACGGCGGGGGUCGCGGGUUCGAAGCCUGUCGUUUCCACC